rnacentral:rRNA from 1 species
UAGGGAAUCUUCGGCAAUGGGGGGAACCCUGACCGAGCAACGCCGCGUGAGUGAAGAAGGUUUUCGGAUCGUAAAGCUCCGUUGUUAAGGAAGAACGAGUGUGAGAAUGGAAAGUUCAUGCUGUGACGGUACUUAACCAGAAAGGGACGGCUAACUACGUGCCAGCAGCCGCGGUAAUACGUAGGUCCCGAGCGUUGUCCGGAUUUAUUGGGCGUAAAGCGAGCGCAGGCGGUUAGAAAAGUCUGAAGUGAAAGGCAGUGGCUCAACCAUUGUAGGCUUUGGAAACUGUUUAACUUGAGUGCAGAAGGGGAGAGUGGAAUUCCAUGUGUAGCGAUGAAAUGCGUAGAUAUAUGGAGGAACACCGGUGGCGAAAGCGGCUCUCUGGUCUGUAACUGACGCUGAGGCUCGAAAGCGUGGGGAGCGAACAGG